rnacentral:rRNA from 1 species
AGUCAUGUAGAGGGGGGUAGAGUACCAGGUGUAGCGGUGAAAUGCGUAGAGAUCUGGAGGAAUACCGGUGGCGAAUGUCGGCCCCCUGGACAAAGACUGACGCUCAGGUGCGAAAGCGUGGGGAGCAAACAGGAUUAGAUACCCCGGUAGUCCACGCUGUAAACGAUGUCGACUUGGAGGUUGUUCCCUUGAGGAGUGGCUUCCGGAGCUAACGCGUUAAGUCGACCGCCUGGGGAGUACGGCCGCAAGGUUAAAACUCAAAUGAAUUGACGGGGGCCCGCACAAGCGGUGGAGCAUGUGGUUUAAUUCGAUGCAACGCGAAGAACCUUACCUACUCUUGACAUCCAGAGAACUUAGCAGAGAUGCUUUGGUGCCUUCGGGAACUCUGAGACAGGUGCUGCAUGGCUGUCGUCAGCUCGUGUUGUGAAAUGUUGGGUUAAGUCCCGCAACGAGCGCAACCCUUAUCCUUUGUUGCCAGCGAUUCGGUCGGGAACUCAAAGGAGACUGCCAGUGAUAAACUGGAGGAAGGUGGGGAUGACGUCAAGUCAUCAUGGCCCUUACGAGUAGGGCUACACACGUGCUACAAUGGCAUAUACAAAGAGAAGCGACCUCGCGAGAGCAAGCGGACCUCAUAAAGUAUGUCGUAGUCCGGAUUGGAGUCUGCAACUCGACUCCAUGAAGUCGGAAUCGCUAGUAAUCGUGGAUCAGAAUGCCACGGUGAAUACGUUCCCGGGCCUUGUACACACCGCCCGUCACACCAUGGGAGUGGGUUGCAAAAGAAGUAGGUAGCUUAACCUUCGGGAGGGCGCUUACCACUUUGGAUUCCUGUUUUUG